UAGACAUGCUACUUUUUGAUGAACAACAGAAGAGGUUAGAACAAAAUUAUAAGAGAGAAUGAAUUGUUCUUCAAAUAAUAUAGAAAACAGUGAACAAGAGUAUUCCCUCACCAAUCUCACUUGGUUUAUAACUUGCCGGAAGUAUACGAGAACAUAGUACAUGAAAUACCGCAUUUGGAUUCUAUCUCAAAGUUGAACAUAACUUCCAUGGAAGAAAAGUGCACAAUAAACAUAUCAUGAAACCACUUAACUCAUUCUAUCCCAUAUGUGGUUCCAUAUCCUUUUCAAUGGGGAGCUCCUACAUUUUAUGAUGGCGAAACAUUCACCAUGUUAAUAUCAUCUACGUCAUUUUAGCUUCUUCAAAAAAAAAUUUAAAAAAUAGCAUCUACGUGACUACGUCGGUGGAUGUAUAUUUUUGCUUCUCAAGUCGGUGAAUGUUAAUUGAUCUAUCAAUAUUAAAAGAUCAGUUUUAUUUUUACUCAUUAUUCUGAACAAAAGUUGGUUAGAGUUUGAACAUUAAUUAA